GAUGAACGCUGGCGGCGUGCUUAACACAUGCAAGUCGAACGGUGAAGCAGGAGCUUGCUCUUGUGGAUCAGUGGCGAACGGGUGAGUAACACGUGAGCAACCUGCCCCUGACUCUGGGAUAAGCGCUGGAAACGGCGUCUGAUACUGGAUAUGUGAUGUGACCGCAUGGUCUGCAUCUGGAAAGAAUUUCGGUUGGGGAUGGGCUCGCGGCCUGUCAGCUUGUUGGUGAGGUAAUGGCUCACCAAGGCGUCGACGGGUAGCCGGCCUGAGAGGGGGACCGGCCACACUGGGACUGAGACACGGCCCAGACUCCUACGGGAGGCAGCAGUGGGGAAUAUUGCACAAUGGGCGGAAGCCUGAUGCAGCAACGCCGCGUGAGGGAUGACGGCCUUCGGGUUGUAAACCUCUUUUAGCAGGGAAGAAGCGAAAGUGACGGUACCUGCAGAAAAAGCACCGGCUAACUACGUGCCAGCCGCCGCGGUAA
rnacentral:rRNA from 1 species